AAGCUUAACAACGUAUACAACUACAAGCCUGGAAGCAUCACAGUGUAUGCCCUCAACUUGAAUAAAGACCCCGUACUCCUGACUAUAUCGGAUCUGAACAUCAAUAGCAUGGACAGAUUCUGGCUGACUCCGGACGGAGGAAACCUUACGUCAACAAAAGUCCAACUCAAUGGCAACACUCUGGAACUUGUCAAUAACCAAAUACCACACGUGAUGCCAAGAUCUUUGGGAAGUGGGACGAUGAAAGUACCCGGAAACUCAUUCGGCUUCAUCGUCAUCCCUGACGCCAACAUCGCGGCAUGUCAAUCACAAGGCCACGGUACCAUUGUCGGAUAGCCAUCUGAAAAUUUUAAUAAAAUGUUUACAAACCGC